CAAUUUCAUUUAUUUUGGUCACUGUUUGCGGAGAAACAGAGACAGGUCGACCUGGACUUUGGUCAUCUUCGGCGCUCUCUCGGCCUUCAGAAAACCGUUUAUACCAUUCGAAAACACGCGCACGAGAUAGAUAAUUCUCACCAUAGGCCUCUUUCAACAAAUUAUAGCACUCAGUCGGAGUUUUUUUUUAAUUUAACGAGAUAUUUCACAUUAAUCCGUUGCUCAUGUUUUUCGUCACACAUUGUUAUCGACACGAGAAAAAAACACGUUCUUUUCUAACCUCUACAGAAAAAAUACUACUACAGAGACAAAAACGUGUUUUCGUACUAGAAGAGAAGACACUUCCAGCUAUCCAAUGCUGCAUUCGUUUCCCACUCUUCCCCUCUAGGACGCCUUCUGCGCGCGCAGUCUCGUUAUUUAAUAGCCAUUUUAUCCCAUUUUACAUUAUCUGUUUUUUUAUAAUUUGACCUUACUGGAUUUUUCUAUAAGUUGACGAAUAUUAAGAAUGUGUUGUCUUGUGUCCGUAGCUGGGACAAAUCCGCAUUUUUCUUAGGGAAUCUAUGGUAAAAGUAUUGAUUGUAGGCUUUCAUUGAUGAUGGUGAGGAAUACUUUGCACACAUUGGAUAUUAUUGUACUGUAGGGCUAUUGUUGCAAUGUGUCUAAACUGUUAUUCCAUCUUCCCCCAUUGCUUUUCUGAAUUUUAGCUUUUUUAAACUCUGCCUCAAUUUAUGAUUUCAGUAUUUAUGUUUUUUUUUCACAACUCUUUCUUCUGUAUUACUGACUAGAUCGUUGUUAGAGAACAGUAUUUCCCAAUAUUAUUUCCACACCGCUGUAUACUUUCUAGGUUUGUUAUGGUAUUUUUACUACAUAUUAUCUUUGAUUAUCUGUGUCUAUGGUUUGAAUUCUCUCGGUCAAUAUUUGACUUUUGAGAAAGUUCUCUAGAUUCUUGCAGUCACCGUAUUCUUCUAGUUGGGCACAUGUUUUUAAUACAAUUAUGUUUGUACCUUCUACACAAGUGUUUUAUAGUCAUAUUUAUGCUGUCUAUCUCUAUUUAUAUUUGUAUUGAAUUUGAUUGUGCCACUUCUAAGUUUUCGUCUUUCUUCUAUAAAGUUGGGAAUCUAUUCAGUCAUGCAAUGUUUUUUGGCUUGAUAGCUUCAGUCAAUGUAUUAUUUGGUGUCUGAUUCUAUUUCGUGCAGGAGAUAACCUGAAAAAGUUUGCACCUCACGGGUCUUGGUAAACAUUCGCCCAGUUGUCAAUUCGAGAAAUGCUGUUCCUUCCAUUUUGUUCUGUUCCGCGAUAAUAUGUGGUCUGCUCUACUUAUUAUUUUAUUUAAAACAUACAUCCUACUCUUAUAUUCUAGUAAUACUAAAAUUGGUAUACUCAAUACGUUAUUUUGGUUGAAUUAAACAAAAAUAUAUGUGUGCCGGAUGAAAUCCAGUUUUUCAUACUAAUUUCGUACCACGUCAUUUAAUUUUACGACCUUGUGAUUACGCACUGCUGCCUUAAGGUCAAAAUAAUAUUUUAGGUACUUAUAGCUCAAAAGAGCUUGGUCGGUAGUACUUAUUUUAUUGUACAUGUCCGAUCGGACAAGCUAUCUGGAGCAUUGUAGUUUUGGUAUUUCAUACCUACAAAAAUGCCACGAUGGUGAUUAUACUUAUUUUGGGAAGAAGUAAGUAGCAUAGUAAUGUACCAAUUCCAUAUACAUUCAGUUUGACACUUAUGUUCCAAAAACAAGUUGUAAAAUUGCAUGCAAAACUUCAGUUUUUCGUUUUGAAUAUUUUUACACCUGAUAAAGCUCUAUUCACAACUGAUAUGGAGCGUUUCGCGUUGAACGUUGUAAAGAUAGGGCUACGUAUUUCUUAUGAACGAUAGAAGUGCGUCGAUUUAGUGAUGUUGAUUAUAGUUACUUUCGAGUAUUCGUUACAAAUUGGUAAUUUUUGUAUAAAGUAAUAAUAAUAAUAAUAUAAUAAUAAUGUUUAUUUGGGAAUGACAAUAAAGAUUUACAAAAAAAUAAAAAGCAUAAUGAGUACUACCUAAAUAAACAUAAAUAACUCACUGAAGUUGAGCUACGUUGUAUAUAUAUUACUAAUAUACAUACAAAAGUAGCACCCCUUGUGCGUGAGAUUUAAAAAUAUAUACUAACUUACAAAUAUAAACAAAAACAAAAAAUAUUUAACAAAUGUAUAAAUGUAUAUACAGUUAUAUGGGAAUUUAUAAAAAUACUAAAAAAGAAACUUUAACAUUAACCAA
rnacentral:lncRNA from 1 species